UUCAUUCGCGAACAAAGUUCCAUUUGUGUGUGUUUGAACGUUCGGAGACAGUGCGACGGUUUAUACUGCUUUUGAAAUUGUUUUCGUUGGCGAAGUAAAAAUAGACAAUUAAGGAGUUGUACCUGAGGGAGAGCAGGAGGAUGGGAGAAGUCCAGGAGGCACCGGUGAUGUGGAGGGCACAGGAAGCAUACAAGAAGUGAAGUGCCAAAAAUGGCAAACCAGUCAUGCCUGUUAAAGACAAAAAUGGCAACAACCUCACUACCGACCAAGAAAAAGCAAAUGGGUACAAUACUUCCAUGAAGUACUCAACCACCCAGAGCCAGAUGACCCUGCUAAUCCCUCUGCAACAGGUGACAUUCUCGAUAGCCAUACUAGUACCCCAGGAAAGCCAUGAAAAAUGGAAACACUGCAGGAAUUGAUUCCAUCCGUGCAGAAAUGCUUAAGGCAGACCUUGAUACCUCAUGCAAGGUUCUCACAGACCUCUUUAGAAAUAUCUGAGAACAAGAGACCAUCCCAGAUGACUGGAAUAAAGACCUUACUGUGAAACUUCCCAAGAAGGGUGAUCUUCAGAGCUGUGACAACUGGCGUGGCAUCACAGUUGCUCUCAGUCCCAUAAAAAGUUUUAUGUAGAGUUCUUCUAUACAGAAUUGACCAAAUUAUGACUUUAAACUUGCAGGAUUCAGAAGUGGAAGAAGGUGCAUAGACCAGAUCUUUACAUUUUGGAGUUUCACCAAAGUUUCGCUGAUGAGGCUGUUCUACAGGAAAAUCAAAUGCAGCAUCAUUGUAGACGGACACUUGUCAGAAUGGUUCCCUGUAAAGUCUGGUGUGCCGCAGGGCUGUAUCAUCUCACCAAUCCUCUUUGUGGUCACAAACGACUGGAUAAUGUGGAAAACAACAGCUGACAGACCCAGAGGCAUCCAAUAGACCCCCUUCUCACAGCUUGAAGAACUUGACUUUGCCAGUGACCUUGCUGUUUUCUCCACAAAAUUCAAACAUCUCCAAGAAAAGACAGACAGACUGAACAGAUUUGCCAUGCAGGUGGGCCUGAACAUCAAUCCAUACAGCGUGCUGCAAAUGAUCGAGCCAAUGGAAACAUAUCACUGAUGCCUUAUGUCCCACUCAAGAGGAAGAGGUGUAAGCCAAUAAGUAGUUCAGUGGUUAUUCCAUAAUUAUACAUGCCUUUUUUUUUCUUUUUUUUUAAUAAUUGAAAUAUCAAUCACACUGCGGCGACUGCCAGUGAGUGCAGACAGUGAAGUUCACAUGUCGCCUCAUGAUACAGUUGGGAACUAUAAGGUAGGUACACCUGUUAACAACUGAAAGGACUUGCAACCACACUGAUUCCAAUGAACAGCAUUUAAUGGAAUUGUUCACACCAAAAUGAAAAUUUUGCCAUUUACACACCCUCAUGUCGUUCCAAACCUGCAUGACUUCCUUCUGUGGAAUCUACUUCUGGGAAAUCUU
ensembl:lncRNA